GACGAACGCUGGCGGCGUGCCUAAUACAUGCAAGUCGAACGCAGUGGGGACGGGUGAGUAACACGUGGGUAACCUCCCAUCAGAGGGGAUAACACUUGGAAACGGUGGCUAAACCGAUACUAUCGGAUGAACCCAUAGGGGUUUAGCUAGUUGGUGAGGUAACGGCUCACCAAGGCCACGAUGCAUAGCCGACCUGAGAGGGGGAUCGGCCACACUGGAACUGAGACACGGCCCAGACUCCUACGGGAGGCAGCAGUAGGGAAUCUUCGGCAAUGGACGAAAGUCUGACCGAGCAACGCCGCGUGAGUGAAGAAGGUUUUCGGAUCGUAAAACUCUGUUGUUAGAGAAGCGGUAUCUAACCAGAAAGCCACGGCUAACUACGUGCCAGCAGCCGCGGUAAUUC
rnacentral:rRNA from 1 species